CAGCCGCCGCGGUAAUACGGAGGGUGCAAGCGUUAAUCGGAAUUACUGGGCGUAAAGCGCACGCAGGCGGUCUGUCAAGUCAGAUGUGAAAUCCCCGGGCUUAACCUGGGAACUGCAUUUGAAACUGGCAGGCUAGAGUCUUGUAGAGGGUGGUGGAAUUUCCUGUGUAGCGGUGAAAUGCGUAGAUAUAGGAAGGAACACCAGUGGCGAAGGGGACCACCUGGACUGAUACUGACACUGAGGUGCGAAAGCGUGGGGAGCAAACAGGAUUAGAGACCCCUGUAGUCCCUGUCUCUUAUAC
rnacentral:rRNA from 1 species